GACGAACGCUGGCGGCGUGCUUAACACAUGCAAGUCGAACGGAAAGGCCCUGCUUUUGUGGGGUGCUCGAGUGGCGAACGGGUGAGUAACACGUGAGUAACCUGCCCUUGACUUUGGGAUAACUUCAGGAAACUGGGGCUAAUACCGGAUAGGAGCUCCUGCUGCAUGGUGGGGGUUGGAAAGUUUCGGCGGUUGGGGAUGGACUCGCGGCCUAUCAGCUUGUUGGUGGGGUAGUGGCUUACCAAGGCUUUGACGGGUAGCCGGCCUGAGAGGGUGACCGGCCACAUUGGGACUGAGAUACGGCCCAGACUCCUACGGGAGGCAGCAGUGGGGAAUAUUGCACAAUGGGCGGAAGCCUGAUGCAGCAACGCCGCGUGCGGGAUGACGGCCUUCGGGUUGUAAACCGCUUUCGCCUGUGACGAAGCGUGAGUGACGGUAAUGGGUAAAGAAGCACCGGCUAACUACGUG
rnacentral:rRNA from 1 species